UUUAACAUGGCUUAACAAUUUUAAAGGGUUACUGUUCGAACUAAAAUAGCUAAUGUGCUAGCUAACUUUGGAACAGUUAUUUGGUAGCUAAUGGGAUACCGUGCCUCUUAACUUUAACUAGCCUGUUAAUUAGCUGCAGAAAAUAGCCUAACGUUAUAUUCAACCAGCACAACUUUAUCUUCUUCAGCCGCCCUUUGUAAUUGCAGUGUAACAUCUAAGUAAUGCAUAGUGCAUGAGAGAAAUAAAUAGGUAACUCUUAGUUGAACCAGCGCUAAAUUAUGAUUUUGAAUAUAUAUUUUCUUUGCUAACAGGGGCAAAAUGCUGUUGCGUGUUCAAUUCGGGGAAGAGCAGAAAUACGUCAAGCUGUCUGAGCUGACAUUCGAUGCUUUCUUGAAAGAAGUUACAUAAAAUCGGCUGCAGAUACCAUGGUGACCAAUGGUUUGAGGGUUCAAAUGAGGGUUCAAAGUCUGUCUCAAUGUAGCUUCAAAAUCUCGAUAUGAUCCCAGCAGAGAAAUAAGGUUCUUAUCUAGUUAAAUGAUCGGUCAUUUUCAAAAUAAAAAUACCACAAUUGUACGUGUUGUAGAAUCUCAAGAUGUGCCACAUGUGCCGUCAUGAUGUCGUAAAGGUCCAUUUGUGGUUAAAAAUUAUAUUAUUUUUAUUUUGAAAACAGCCGAUCGUUUCACUAUAUAAGACCCUUAUUUCUCUGCAGGGAUUGUCAGGUCUUUGAAGCUACAUUAAGACAUUUGACCCUUCAUUUGAACCCUCAAACCAUUGGUCACCAUGGAAGUUCAUUAUAUGGAGAAAAAUCCUGGAAUGUUUUCCUCAAAAAACGUAUAUUAUUUUCGCCUGAAGAAAGAAAGACAUGAACAUCUUGGAUGACAUGGGGGUUGAAACCAGUGUGCAGCAGCAUCUAAACAACAUCACCAAAAGCAGUCAGCCCUACCUUCUCGCCCAGGGAUCCAUACAGAGCACCAUUCACUCCUACUUUAUUGUGUUUGACAAGCAUGCACUUCCAUGCAAGGCAACAG